rnacentral:rRNA from 1 species
CUACGGGACGCUCCAGUGGGGAAUAUUGGGCAAUGGGCGCAAGCCUGACCCAGCAACGCCGCGUGAGGGAAGAAUGUCUUCGGAUUGUAAACCUCUGUCCUUGGGGACGAAAAAAAUGACGGUACCCAAGGAGGAAGCUCCGGCUAACUACGUGCCAGCAGCCGUCGGUAAUACGUAGGGAGCAAGCGUUGUCCGGAAUUAUUGGGCGUAAAGGGUGCGUAGGCGGCGCUGUAAGUCAGAUGUGAAAUCCCCGGGCUUAACUCGGGAGUUGCAUUUGAAACUACAGUGCUUGAGUAAAGAAGGGGUAAGUGGAAUUCCUAGUGUAGCGGUGGAAUGCGUAGAUAUUAGGAGGAACACCAGUGGCGAAGGCGACUUACUGGUCUUUUACUGACGCUGAGGCACGAAAGCGUGGGGAGCAAACAGGAUUAGUUACCCCAGUAGUC